GUGGGGUUAGCAUAAUGGUGAUGCAACCGUUUUGUAAACGGUAGAAACGGGGUCAGAACCCGUACCCCACCCCA
rnacentral:tRNA from 1 species